rnacentral:rRNA from 1 species
AACGAACGCUGGCGGCAUGCCUAACACAUGCAAGUCGAACGAGACCUUCGGGUCUAGUGGCGCACGGGUGCGUAACGCGUGGGAAUCUGCCCUUCGGUUGGGAAUAACUGAGAGAAAUUUCAGCUAAUACCUUAUAAUAUCUUCGGACCAAAGAUUUAUCGCCGAGGGAUGAGCCCGCGUAGGAUUAGGUAGUUGGUGGGGUAAUGGCCUACCAAGCCGACGAUCCUUAGCUGGUCUGAGAGGAUGAUCAGCCACACUGGGACUGAGACACGGCCCAGACUCCUACGGGAGGCAGCAGUGGGGAAUAUUGGACAAUGGGCGAAAGCCUGAUCCAGCAAUGCCGCGUGAGUGAUGAAGGCCUUAGGGUUGUAAAGCUCUUUUACCCGGGAUGAUAAUGACAGUACCGGGAGAAUAAGCUCCGGCUAACUCCGUG